GGAUGUAGCUCAGCUGGUAGAGCUCCGGAUUGUGGUUCCGGCGGUCGUGGGUUCAAACCCCAUCAUC
rnacentral:tRNA from 1 species